CCUCACCAUUUGAGCAAUGGGGGGACGCAGGAGGAUAGGGUAAGCGCGGUAUUGGAUAUCCGCGUCCAAGCAGUUAGGCUGGGAAAUAGGCAAAUCCGUUUCCCAUAAGGCUGAGCUGUGAUGGCGAGCGAAAUAUAGUAGCGAAGUUCCUGAUUCCACACUGCCAAGAAAAGCCUUUAGCGAGGUGAGAGGUGCCCGUACCGCAAACCGACACAGGUAGGCGAGGAGAGAAUCCUAAGGUGAUCGAGAGAACUCUCGUUAAGGAACUCGGCAAAAUGACCCCGUAACUUCGGGAGAAGGGGUGCUCUGUUAGGGUGCAAGCCCGAGAGAGCCGCAGUGAAUAGGCCCAGGCGACUGUUUAGCAAAAACACAGGUCUCUGCGAAGCCGUAAGGCGAAGUAUAGGGGCUGACGCCUGCCCGGUGCUGGAAGGUUAAGAGGAGCGCUUAGCGUAAGCGAAGGUGCGAAUUGAAGCCCCAGUAAACGGCGGCCGUAACAAUAACGGUCCUAAGGUAGCGAAAUUCCUUGUCGGGUAAGUUCCGACCCGCACGAAAGGCGCAACGAUCUGGGCACUGUCUCAACGAGAGACUCGGUGAAAUUAUAGUACCUGUGAAGAUGCAGGUUACCCGCGACAGGACGGAAAGACCCCGUGGAGCUUUACUGCAGCCUGAUAUUGAAUGUUGGUACAGCUUGUACAGGAUAGGUAGGAGCCUUGGAAACCGGAGCGCCAGCUUCGGUGGAGGCAUCGGUGGGAUACUACCCUGGCUGUAUUGACCUUCUAACCCGCCGCCCUUAUCGGGCGGGGAGACAGUGUCAGGUGGGCAGUUUGACUGGGGCGGUCGCCUCCUAAAAGGUAACGGAGGCGCCCAAAGGUUCCCUCAGAAUGGUUGGAAAUCAUUCGCAGAGUGUAAAGGCACAAGGGAGCUUGACUGCGAGACCUACAAGUCGAGCAGGGACGAAAGUCGGGCUUAGUGAUCCGGUGGUUCCGCAUGGAAGGGCCAUCGCUCAACGGAUAAAAGCUACCCCGGGGAUAACAGGCUUAUCUCCCCCAAGAGUCCACAUCGACGGGGAGGUUUGGCACCUCGAUGUCGGCUCAUCGCAUCCUGGGGCUGUAGUCGGUCCCAAGGGUUGGGCUGUUCGCCCAUUAAAGCGGUACGCGAGCUGGGUUCAGAACGUCGUGAGACAGUUCGGUCCCUAUCCGUCGCGGGCGCAGGAAAUUUGAGAGGAGCUGUCCUUAGUACGAGAGGACCGGGAUGGACGCACCGCUGGUGUACCAGUUGUUCUGCCAAGGGCAUCGCUGGGUAGCUAUGUGCGGACGGGAUAAGUGCUGAAAGCAUCUAAGCAUGAAGCCCCCCUCAAGAUGAGAUUUCCCAUUCCGCAAGGAAGUAAGAUCCCUGAAAGAUGAUCAGGUUGAUAGGUCUG
rnacentral:rRNA from 1 species